CUGUGUGCGAGUGAAUCGCGAGCACGGUGCCGCGAAAAGCGCGGCCCGCCGUCGACGAGCGACACGUGUAUAUCGACGACGCGACGAUCAACCCAAACGCGAAGCCACCGUCGAGUAUCUCCACCGUGAUCGCGCCGCGUUCUCGUUAGGCUGGACUAUUUUUCCGUCGCGCACGGACGGCCGCGUCGACGCGCCUGCGCCGACCGAUGUGCGCGCGCCACCUGGCACCGCUACGGCCAACCGCAUUGGUCGCGCACAGUCGCGCGGCGCGGCGGCGUCUCCAUUGCGCAAGAUUGACCGUUGGUGGCUUUUUCGACGUCCCGUGUAUGUACGUUUGAAAUGCGCUUUCCGUACGUGAACCGUUUUUUUUUCGGCAUGGCACGUCGCGCGAUUAAAGAACGUUCGCUAGGAUCUGUCCGAGGACCUUUGCUGCACUUGUUGCAGAAACGUUGCAGCAACACCCACUGAACGCGAACUUCGGUUAUUAAAUGGAACGCCCAGCAAUAGAUGCUACGUAUAUUUGCUACGAUGCAUUUUUGUAUCGAAACUUCCGAAAGGAAAAAAUUAGCGAGUCACUCUCUUUUUUUCUCAAACACACAUGACGCAGUUAAACUGAGGUCUCUUUGACGCUUCAACGACGAGGAACCGCAAUGAGUUUGUGAUUAAAACGAAGAUGUUUCGGCGAAUCAUUGCUUGAUGCAGUUUCUUCUGAAAGCGGAGCCGUCACGGCCUCCAGAGAGCCGUGUGAGCGGCAAAUCGAAGCACCCAACUGCAAGGCAGAAACAUUGUUCGACCACAAUUGCGAGCCACAGAGUCGAGACAUCGAUGUACAAUCGAGGUGCGCAGAGGAUGUUCGAGAGAGGAUUGGACAAGCCAAGCUCGUAUCGCGUGUUGUCUAUAAGCUAACGCUCGAUAGAGGUUUAGAGCUUCUCUCUCUUUCUCUCUCUGUCCUCCCCCACCCCGUUUCUCUCUCUCUCUCUCUCUCUCUCUCUCUCUCUCUCCCCCCGACCCGCUUCAAUCAUUGAUAGUCGAUAGUCGAUGAGCGGUAAAACACUAUACCAGCUCGCGAUUAAAUAUUCGCGCGGCAAUAGGAUAAUAAUAAACGACGAACGAACGUAUUGACGAUCUGUAUUGACACUUUGUAAAUCGACUCGACAAGAAAUUAUGUACACUGAUCCUAAUGAAUUAAUCAAUCGGCCGUAAAAUAUUCUAACUAACCAACUUUCAAAAUUAACGACGAAGAUUUAUUAUAUCGCGAUGCUCGAAAAGGUUUAUAAAAUUAUAACAUGUUUUCUUGUUCACUUGCAAAACAGGUUCGUUAAAUUUUGUAAAAUUAAUGUGCAUUCAAUCACGGUUUACAACAAAAAUAUAAAAAACAAUCAAACAAAUCUACACUGAAAAAAAGUCAAAGUAUUAGCAAACAAAUAUGACGUUUUCUUCGAUAUUCAUUAAUUUUUUAAAACUAUUGAUUACGAUGACGAAAUAUAUAGUUUCUGUCAAAUAUAUCAUUUUUCUCUGAAAUAUAUCUCAUUUUUUUAUCAAUUGGUUUAUUUACUAAAAAUAAAACUGUAUUUCACCGUAUUUAAAUAUUCGUUUCAAUGAAAUAAAUUUAUAUCCCACAAAUACAUUUAUCUUUUUCUCAGUGUGUGUAUGUGUGUGUGCUUGAAAAAAAAUAGUCAAAAUUUGCAAUAUAAUUCUAAAAGAAAAGUACAAAUAUAAAAAAAACGUUUGUAAAAGUGCAAGUGGCACUUUAUAUUAAGGACAUUCGAAAUAAUGGCAUUACCUCUUUCAAUGACAAAAUGCAAUUGAUAAAAAUCCAUAUAAGUUGUCAUUAACAAAUCUGUAACUCGAGUUCAAAGACUAUUUUAAAAAUCUGACUAAGAACAAAAAGAAAAUAAAUACUAUAGUAAUCCUGCUGCAGAGAGUAAAGAAUAGCAUCAUGAGGAGAAGGAUGGGUAAAAGAGGGUGGAUAUUCAAUUUGCAAGUGCCGGUUCCGCUUCGAGCUGACAUUUCGCUCAUCGCUCCCCCGAGGACCUACGAUCGAAGCCUCGUCUUUCCAGACCGUGAAUAAAUGGCCUGCUAAACGGCAUCCUAAAAGCACCCUCCUUCUCUAGCCUCUCUAUUUUCUCCCGCUAA